GCGCUUCGGAGUCCCGAUCCGAAUCAAUUGUUUUGCGAACUCGCUCCGAGAUCUCAAGUUAUUUUCCAGUGAAAGUGUAAGCAUCUCAUCCCUAAAUAAGGGGAGUGUUAAUACUGAGAGCGUCCUCCGUGUUUCCUCAUGACGCGCUGGGGAAAAGGAACACCUGUGUGGCGUAAUUAGAGGGAAGCAUUAUGGAUGAUGUAUUGGUUGUCGCAGGAGGGUUUUUUGGGUUGUUACUGAUGAGUUCCUUGCCAAAGCUGCCGUGCCGGGACGUGGGUUUAAGAUUGUUGUGCGAAUCGAUCGGGAGGGAUAUUUUGCUGGGGUUUUCCCCGUUUACGUUUGGCGGCCGCUGUUGAGUUCACUGAACGCGGAACCCACGUCCGGUAGCGGGUAAGAAAGCCAGCAGUACAUGUUGUUUUUAUUAUUGUGUUUGAUGUUAAUGUCUGUUCCUGCUGUGUUUGCCGGGGAGGCCCUGAUGUGUGUGAACCCAAUGAUCCCCCGGCGCUAUUUGUGUGUAAAGGGAGUGUGUGUGUAAGGGUUAUCCUUUCCCAUACGCCUCCUAUACAGUUGACGACGGCUAGAUAUUUAGCACGAGUAUGAUUGACGGUUUGUGGUGAUCAAUAUUUGAUAUGCAUUUAUUGGUGUGAUAUUUAUGACUAUUAGGUUUUGCAGUGUAAUGAACAAAAAAAAAAAAAACUAAACUUAUUUAUCAUUUCAUAGUUUUCCCACUGACGAAAAUAAAAAAAGCAUUGAAAUUGGGCGACGACAGGAGGAGGCGACAAUUACUGUGAGGAAAGAUACUUUAGUGUGUGCUAAGCCCUUCACGGAGGAAGAGGUCCGUGUUUAACCGGAGUACGGUCGAUCUCGCACCGUGGGCUGUGCCUUCCAGGUUUGCGUGGAAAAGUUUGUGGUGCAGAGCAGUAAAUGUGGAGAUGUGCAGGAGCACGAUUACAACAGCCGUCCAGUCCCAGUGUUCUUGCUGAGGCAUGGGAAAAAUAAAGGAGCUGGAAAAAACACCUGCUAGUGACAUCAGCGUCGUCUACACACCUGCUAGUGACAUCAGCAUCAUCUACACACCUGCUAGUGACAUCAGCGUCGUCUACACACCUGCUAGUGACAUCAUGCUUCUCUUCACCUGCUAGUGACAUCAUGCUCCUCCUCACCUGCUAGUGACAUCAGCAUCAUCUACUCACCUGCUAGUGACAUCAGCAUCAUCUACUCACCUGCUAGUGACAUCAGCAUCAUCUACACACCUGCUAGUGACAUCAGCAUCAUCUACACACCUGCUAGUGACAUCAGCAUCAUCUACACACCUGCUAGUGACAUCAGCAUCAUCUACACACCUGCUAGUGACAUCAGCAUCAUCUACUCACCUGCUAGUGACAUCAGCAUCAUCUACUCACCUGCUAGUGACAUCAGCAUCAUCUACACACCUGCUAGUGACAUCAGCAUCAUCUACACACCUGCUAGUGACAUCAGCGUCAUCUACACACCUGCUAGUGACAUCAGCAUCAUCUACUCACCUGCUAGUGACAUCAGCAUCAUCUACUCACCUGCUAGUGACAUCAGCAUCAUCUACUCACCUGCUAGUGACAUCAGCAUCAUCUACACACCUGCUAGUGACAUCAGCAUCAUCUACACACCUGCUAGUGACAUCAGCGUCAUCUACACACCUGAUAGUGACAUCAGCGUCAUCUACACACCUGAUAGUGACACCAUGCUUCUCUUCACCUGCUAGUGACUUGUCUGCUUUGUGAUAAGCAAAUGUUGCUAUCUUCCAAUUCUGAACACAUCAGAAAUCACCAACCCCUCCUGACAUAUCUUUCCAGUUUGGGUUUUGCAUGGUCCCCAAUAAACUCAACGUGGGAUGCCUCUCCGAUCUCUUUCACAUCAGGGAACUUAACCUCUACCAGGCCACAGGGAGGUUCUUCAUUUGGGUCCACCACUUUGCCAUCUGCACCAAGGUGUGGAGCAUCAGGGUGGAUGAUGAGACCAGAUGGAAGAACGUUAACGUCAAAGGUCUCCUCAUAGCAGUGAAGAACCUCUGGCUCAAGUUUGAAUCCUCUACACAUCGCUCUCUAGAGACCCCGACAGAUGUUUACACACACUGUUUAAUACAAGAUAUAAAUGCAUUUAACCUGCAAUUACAAAUGCAUAAUGUUUUGAUGUUUUAAUCCCAAAAUGUUGAAUACUGAUAUUUGCAAUGAUAAAAGAAAGAUAGUGCUUUAAGAGGUGAAAUUAAAAACACCAAUAUCUAGACAAUCAUGAAUUGUAACAUCACUUCCUUUAAUGUUUUUACUAUAGAGUUGAUAUGGAAUUUGUAUUGUGUUGAAAUGCUUAUACAAGAUAAAUAUGUAGUUAACUUUAAAGUAUAUCUACAUUUCUUGGUAUAUGAACAUUCUGAGUGAUUUUAUUACACUAAUAUACAAUCAGACAUCCCAAUUUCUAUUUUGGUAAAGUCAUUAAGUGUCAUGUCAUUCAGAUGAAUUAGAAUUUAAUUUGGGGUCCUGAAAUACCCUGAACACUGCACAGAGGUUAAGAUGACCAUUGCUACAUAAAUAAAAUAAAAAUUGAAACUCA